GGGGCCGACCUGGUUUCGACGUGGGUGCGGAGUCGGGAUAGUGCAUGUCGAGCACCAGUUCGCUCGUUAAACCACUGGAAACAAAGUAACUGCGAACGACGAACGUUUCGCCCUCGCCGCUUAACACCGGUGAGCCUCUCAACGGUUGGCCCAUGGGCCGGGCGUGAGCCGCAAGGCAAGCGCUGAGAGGUCAUUCACAUGGGCUGGUCUCCUGGUUGGCCAUGCAUCAGGAGGUGAGAUCAAGUGGCUGGUGUCAUCGGUAGCGUGCUGCUGCGCGACCGAAGGCACGAGAAUCAAAUCAGUCAGCUAAGCAUGUAGAUCUACCUGGCGAUGGCUUGCGGACGGGGGUUCAAUUCCCCCCGGCUCCACCA
rnacentral:tmRNA from 1 species